rnacentral:rRNA from 1 species
UACGUAGGGGGCAAGCGUUGUCCGGAUUUAUUGGGCGUAAAGAGCGUGUAGGCGGCCAGGGAGGUCCGUUGUGAAAACUCGAGGCUCAACCUCGAGACGCCGAUGGAAACCCCCUGGCUAGAGUCCGGAAGAGGAGAGUGGAAUUCCUGGUGUAGCGGUGAAAUGCGCAGAUAUCAGGAAGAACACCCGUGGCUAAGGCGGCUCUCUAGUACGGUACUGACGCUGAGACGGCGAAAAGCGUGGGGAGCAAACAGG